CACCUGCAGGAUUUGAAUUUAUAAUGCCCUGCUAGAACUGUCGAGGGAAACCAUCCUCUGCGUUCUAAGUCAUCGGCGUUUUCAUACACGGCUUCUUUUCCUCUUGGGAAGCUUUCUCCGCCCUUCUUCUUUUCCGUGUUGUUUCACUGCCCUUUCGCAUUUGCUUUGUGAAGGAUCCCGCACCUACCUUUACACAGCCUUUGUCUUCUAUAUACAGCAGUUAUGCUGCUGGUUUGCCGUAUAGCUCUCUAGGGUCAAGAGAACUCACACAGGGUGAGCGACUAAGGGCGUGGCUUCAAAGGCAAGAGCUUCCCAGUGCCAUGCCUCCAUCCACCUCCCCAUCUGGGAACCUGGAGUUCUUCGUCUGACCUUCCCCUGCACGGGCUAGGUAACAAUACAGGGGUGCUCCUUUGCUUCAACAGCCCACGGAAAGCUCUGGGAGGAAGGGGCGCUGUUGCGGAUGGACAGCCAAUCCCAUACCAAAGUCGAAGAUCAAUCACUCCAGAGGAGGUUUAAAAGAACUCCUCUCAUUGGACGAGAACACGAAUGGGGUCCUAACUCACCCCAGAAAGAGUCCUGUGUGCCUUCUGUUCUACCUGGAAUCAGAGUUUCCCAGUGGGGAGCGUGCCAUCUUCCCGUGUUGGUGGAGAGUUUUGCGGUCUGCCAUGGCUUUCCUGGAUGUUACAGUGAAUGUGCUGAAAACUGUAGGUGCCUGAUGCUGUGAAGCUGCCCAGUGAUUUUCUGGUGACUUCGGAUAUUCACCUGGGCAUCCAUCUUUUUAAGCUAUCAGAUCCUGCUGUUCCUGUUGGAAGUCCACCUUAGGUACUGCCUGACAUGUACAGAUGCUGAAGGACUGCCCCUUUCCAAGGGAGGGGAAAAUUCUUGUCA
rnacentral:lncRNA from 13 species